UCCCAGGACCCUGGGAUCGUGACCUGGGCCGAAGGCAGACGCCCAACGACUGAGCCACCCAGGCGCUCCUCUUGCUGUGCAUUUACAGUGUCACGUGGUUCUUCUGGAGGGGCAAAUGGGGUGUGCAGGGCGAGGCGGCAGGCAGGGAGAAGGGUGUCCUUGCGGUGCACCGGGUCAGGCCUAGAGCUCUCCGGGAGUCGAGAUGCUUGGCGUUCCCUGCCCUCCACCUGCCCGCUGCCGGAGUGAGCGUGACCACCGCUGCUCGCGUCCUGGAGGCAUCCGCGGAACACAGCCGGCUGGGCCGGGAUAAGAGUCACGCCUGCUGGUUCUUCAGCGCUUGACGCUGGUUUAGAGGCCGCACUCCAGUCUUCCUCCCAGCAUCCCUGUGAGGCAGCUUUGUCACUGGGAGAAGAAGAGGCGGAGGGUCAGAGGGACUUGUCUGAGGCAACACAGCCGCGGCUCCUUUUGACUCUUAGCCACGGUGUGCACUGAGCUGGGUCUGAGUUAGAUGCCGAAGCAGAGAAGCCCCAGUCGACUCACAGGUGAUGGGCUUUGCAAAGUAAGCAGCUCCCUCCCUGGGUGGUCUUUAGCCUGAUAAUAAAUCAGUACCAUGGUUGGGUGCUGUCCCCAGGUGUGUUCUGUUUGGUCUAACGAAUAUUUAUAAAAAGGUGAGCCAAAUGGAACAAGGCUGGAAGUCUCACAAAUUUGGAUUUCUGGCGUGUCAUGAAAGAUCCAGAAGAUCUGGCAAUGUCGGUGUGACCCACGGGCAGCAACGGAAAGCAAGCCGGAAUCCAGAGCGAAACCUAGGAGGUGGAGGGUCACCUUGAGCAGAGGGGUGAGGGGGACAGUCCGGGAACUGCCCCCACCUCCAGGAGCCGAUCUCCCCUCCGAAGGAAAGUGAUCCUUUUACCUCUAACUGUCUAUCAUCGUUCACUGUUCCUGAGUGGAUUUGAGUUUUGGAAACGCCCAGAAGGAAUCUGGAGCUAAAUCUAGUGAUUGAAGUGGGUGAUUAAGCCUAAUUAGACCAUUUGUUAUUACAGACAAAGAAACCAAAUACAACUAAAGAAAUAACA